rnacentral:rRNA from 1 species
GAUGAACGCUGGCGGCGUGCCUAAUACAUGCAAGUUGAGCGAACGGACGAGAAGCUUGCUUCUCUGAUGUUAGCGGCGGACGGGUGAGUAACACGUGGAUAACCUACCUAUAAGACUGGGAUAACUUCGGGAAACCGGAGCUAAUACCGGAUAAUAUUUUGAACCGCAUGGUUCAAAAGUGAAAGACGGUCUUGCUGUCACUUAUAGAUGGAUCCGCGCUGCAUUAGCUAGUUGGUAAGGUAACGGCUUACCAAGGCAACGAUGCAUAGCCGACCUGAGAGGGUGAUCGGCCACACUGGAACUGAGACACGGUCCAGACUCCUACGGGAGGCAGCAGUAGGGAAUCUUCCGCAAUGGGCGAAAGCCUGACGGAGCAACGCCGCGUGAGUGAUGAAGGUCUUCGGAUCGUAAAACUCUGUUAUUAGGGAAGAACAUAUGUGUAAGUAACUGUGCACAUCUUGACGGUACCAAAUCAGAAAGCCACGGCUAACUACGUG